ensembl:lncRNA
AUCUGCCUUUUGGGGGGCUCUGAGGUGAGGUGCCAGGAUGGACACGAGAGAGCAGCUGCUGCAUAUCCUGGAUGAUCUGUCCAAGGAGGAGUUUGAGAAGUUCAAGUUUUACCUGUCCCAUGUGGGCACGGCUCCCCACAUAGGCCGUGGGAAGCUGGACGGCACCUCCCCCACCCAGGUGGCUGAGCUGCUGAUGCAGAGGUACCCCCAGGAAGCGCUAGACAUCAUCCACCAGGUGCUGCACAAGAUCCCAAGGCUGGACCUGGUCCAGGGCAGCCAGCUCCAGACAGGAGGAGAAACUGGGAACAGCGGCAACGAUGCAAAUCACAGUGAGGCUGCAAAUAGCGGCGCCGGGGCAAGGGAGCCACAGGCCCACGGGAAGCAGAGUCUGGUUUCAGAGCAGCAGCUGAUGAAGCUGGCAGGGAAAAUGGGCAAGACCUGGAGGCAGAUCGGCAUCGAGUUCCUGGGCCUGGAGAAUCACGUUCUGGAGCAGAUUGAGGAGAACAAUCCUGGCGACACCAAACAGCGAGCUUUCAGUAUGCUCUUGGAGUGGAGGAAACGAGCGAAGCAGGACGCCACUGCCAUCAACCUUUGCUCCAUUCUCUCCCAGGGCGAGGGGGCCCUCCAGCCUGAGGCCCUCGACUGCCUCCGGGGCACAGGCAGGGCCUAAGGAGAUCUGGGGGGCUUAGUCCAGGGCAGUGGGUCUCAACCAAGGGUCUGUGAGCACGGCCAUUGUUAACCACUCUGUGGCCCAGGGCAGGAAGCUGAAGACCUGCUGUGCAGGGCUGAAGCCAAAGCCUGAGCAACAUAGGUUGGCGUGGGACCCCAGGAAGUUCCCCUGCUUGCUAGCCUCUAACGCUAGCCUUGGCUUGUAUAUGCAGAAAAAUAGUUGUUGUGGAACUGGUGGGCCAAAGAGUUUUUAUAGCAUUGGGUGGGGUGGGGGGAAUGGUGCUCAGCAAGAAAAAAGUUGCGAACCCCGGGUCCAGGGGAUGGAGUGGCCUUGUGAUCAAAGGACUAGCACAGUACUGUGGGGACCUUGAUUCAAUUGCCAGUGGUGCUUUAGUUUUGGGGUGUCUGAUUUGAGACUCCCCCACCCCUGGGGCCUGACUUGCAGAGAAGCCGAGCACCCACUGCUCCCGUUGAUCUUGGCUGGAGUGGAGGGUGCUCGGAAACCAGGCCAUGGGUGGCAGCCAGGAAUCAGUAGCCACUUUGGAAAAUACUGGCCUCCAUCCAGUGCCUCAGUUUACCUACAUGUGCAAUGGGGAAAACAUGGCCAGAUUCUCCAAAGAGCUCAGUGUCCAGCAGCUCCCAUUACUUGCAUGGGGAAGUGGGGGGAGGAGAAGAGUUGCUCAGGGGGCUGGAUGUACUUCUUUUAAAGCCACUUUCACUGCCAGCAGCCUCAAGUGCCACCAGCUCAGGCCCCAGAUAUGUAUCUGGCUGCUGCUCUCAUCCAGCCUAUCACCACUUGCUAGCUGGGGUGGGUCAGUCCAAGCAGGGGCCCCAGGACAGCCCCAGGGAAUGGAUUGGGGCAGGAGGAGACACCUGUGAUCUGGGGGAGCUAUAAAGUGGGAGACCCUGUGGAGGCUGAGCUGGGCUCUUCCCCACUUACAGGAACAUCACUCCACGAAGAACCUGGGGAUCUUCUCUUCCUGGGGGAUCCACUCCCCCAAUCUCUCCUUGGAGUCUCCUCUAGGCAGCUCUUUUUUUAAAGACUCUUUUUACCCAGAAGCACAACUGAAGCCUUUUUGUACUUGCAAAGAAAUAAACGUCCUCAAAGCCAGCA